AACUGCUCGGGGAAGGGAUGUUGGGGGAAAGCUGAAACAAAGCCUCGUGCAGCCCGGUCACAGACCGGCAGUUGAAAUGGAUUCUACCUCCCCCUUGCUCUAUCUAGCCACCUUGUUCUUUGCAGCCUCAUGGUUUCCACAUUUUCUCCUCCUCACCUUGUCUCACGACCUCACCCGGUAGAGUAAUUGCCUCCAAACCGCUGACUUCCUGUCCGUCCAUCAAGUUCCCAUCUCUGCCCAAGCCCUCCCCUCCUCCAUGGGCCACUGGGCCUCUACUGUCGCCCAUGGCCUAGCACGUGGUUCUGUACCAUUACUGUGCAUCGCCCCCCCAUUGACAUGUGAGUUCCUGGCCAGUCACCGUCCCUGCCACAUGCUAGGUGCUCUGUCAGGCUUGAGAGGCUGGUUCUGAAUCUCUCCGGUGUUGUCUUGGCCGCCGAAACCCUCUGAGUAUUGGGCAAAACUAUGGACUACUGUGCACGUGCACAGAAACCCACAGAUGGACGAUAUUGUACACGGGUCCAGGGGGUACACCCACCCGUGACCUCUUCCCCGAUCCCUGAAGAUCAAGCUCUGGAAGGAUGAAUAAGCCUUUGCAGGCUGGGUGGUUAGUUGCAAGGCUCUGCCAUUUGAACGGCAGACAAAGAUUUCCUGCAGCUCCUAAGCCAGGACUCCGAGGAGCAGAGCAUGUGAUCAGUUUCUCAUUUUGUACCUUAGGAGUCCAAGAAGCAGCCUUAGGAAAGAGAGAGUUCUGAAUACCUUUGCAGAUGGAGUGUUCUAUUGUCAAAGAUGCUCUUCAGUUCCUUCUAGAGCAACGUCACUUCUGCAUGGAGCACUAAGCGGGAAACUGAGCAAGGACAGAACGCAGUCAAGAAGCAAACUUGAAGUCGACAUUACUGCUCUAGGGGAACGUGGGGUAAUGAUGCCUCCACGGCUGGCUCGUUUAGAGACGCUGGCACCCAGAAAAGACUCAAGACUCAGAAUCUGUUGCGACAGGAGAGGCACCACUUCAGCUGAGCGAGAACUCAAGCCCUCACAUCUCUACGCGAUGUCACCGAACGCCCUUGGGACAUUUUCUAAGAGCGUCCAUCCGUCCACCCACCUACCCACCCAUCCACCCACCCAUCCAUUCAUCGAUCCUUCCAUCCUUGCAUCCAUUCAGCAACAAACACUGGUCACCGUCUCUGAGCCAGGCCCUAUCCAGGGGCACCAUGCUGAGCCCGUCCCAAGCCUCCACUGGAUGGAGGUUACAUUCUAGUGAUGGGAAAGAGGUAAUCCAUGUGGGAAGCUCAGGUGGGAGUCCGUGCCAUACAGAAAGACGCAGCAGACGUAGGAAGAGGAGGAUGCCCUGUUCUCAAGGGGUUUGCAUGCUAAUGACAGGAAAUGGACAACGACCCAUGAGCAGAUCAAAUACGCGUGGGUGUGCAUGUGUGCAUGUGUGUGCACACGUGUGUACGUGUGAGUGAAUAAACAGGGUGCCCUGACAGAGAAUAAUGGGAAUGUCACUUAGAUGGAAGUGACAGGCCAAGGACUGAAGGACGGAGAAGGAGUAAUGGGGAGAGUGAGUCCAGGCAAGGGGAAGCCCCUGCAGUGGGGAGAGGGACAGAGAUGCUGCAGA